CAACUGUCUGGAGCUGGACAGAACCCCAGUGACCCUGUGCUAACUUUGGAUCCCUGGUGGUCAGAAAGCAAGCAAGAAAGACGCUUGGAGAAUUCUCGAACACCAGAGCUACAACACAUGUGAGCUGUGUGACUUUACUUCCCUAUGUCUAAGCAUCCCUACUAUGUUUAUAGAAGAAACAGAAAUUGAGAAACCAUGCCUGGGAAUCCUAUGAAAGUUACAGGAGGCCUGGGACAAUGAUCCAUACAGACAUCAUGAGGCCCCUGUCCUCUGCUUUAAGAGUAGAGAUCCUGGAAAUCAUCAUACAUCCUUGAGAACCAUCACAGCCUCCUCUGUAAAUCUAGAAAUAAGGUUUGCACAGUGAAAUGGUCCCAAGAGGAAAAGGAAAUGAACCCAUUUUCUCAGCACACCAUGUUGAAUGGGAAGUCAAGAAGAGAUAUGUAAAUGCUCACGUUUCUAAUAGCUCAUUAUCUUGAAAUAGCUAAAUUUUAACGACACAUAUCUAAAAUUAACAACAGCAAAGA